rnacentral:rRNA from 1 species
AGAACGAACGCUGGCGGCAGGCCUAAUACAUGCAAGUCGAACGCACCGCAAGGUGAGUGGCAGACGGGUGAGUAACGCGUGGGAACCUUCCCAGUGGUACGGAAUAACUCCGGGAAACCGGUGCUAAUACCGUAUACGCCCUUUGGGGGAAAGAUUUAUCGCCAUUGGAUGGGCCCGCGUCGGAUUAGCUAGUUGGUGAGGUAAUGGCUCACCAAGGCUACGAUCCGUAGCUGGUCUGAGAGGAUGAUCAGCCACACUGGGACUGAGACACGGCCCAGACUCCUACGGGAGCAGCAGUAGGGAAUAUUGGACAAUGGGCGAAAGCCUGAUCCAGCAAUGCCGCGUGAGUGAUGAAGGCCUUAGGUGUAAAGCUCUUUACCGGAUGAUAAUGACAGUACCGGAGAAUAACGCCCGGUCUAACGUCCGUAGCCAGCAGCCGC